rnacentral:misc_RNA from 1 species
GUCAGGAAAAGCCUAAAGAUUAGACUGUAAGAAAAGAAAAUAGAAGCCAUGUUUCGAAGACCUGUAUUACAGCUAAUGAAAGCUGGAUUUUGAAAAUACUUGGCAGCAACUCUUAGGUACUUCGUCAGUUUGUAAGACAUGAGUCCGAAACAACUACCAGUUUGGUUCUUGAAAGAUCCCUGAAUCGUGUGCACUUACUUGGGCGAGUGGGUCAGGACCCUGUCUUGAGACAGGUGGAAGGAAAAAAUCCAGUCACAAUAUUUUCUCUAGCAACUAAUGAGAUGUGGCGAUCAGGGGAUAGUGAAGUUUACCAACUGGGUGAUGUCAGUCAAAAGACAACAUGGCACAGAAUAUCAGUAUUCCGGCCAGGCCUCAGAGACGUGGCAUAUCAAUAUGUGAAAAAGGGGUCUCGAAUUUAUUUGGAAGGGAAAAUAGACUAUGGUGAAUACAUGGAUAAAAAUAAUGUGAGGCGACAAGCAACAACAAUCAUAGCUG